UACGUAGGGGGCAAGCGUUGUCCGGAUUUAUUGGGCGUAAAGAGCGUGUAGGCGGCUUUACAGGUCCGUUGUGAAAACUCGAGGCUCAACCUCGAGACGCCGGUGGAAACCGUAAAGCUAGAGUCCGGAAGAGGCGAGUGGAAUUCCUGGUGUAGCGGUGAAAUGCGCAGAUAUCAGGAGGAACACCAAUGGCGAAGGCAGCUCGCUGGGACGGUACUGACGCUGAGACGCGAAAGCGUGGGGAGCAAACAGG
rnacentral:rRNA from 1 species